UGGAAGGCUGUGGCCACCAGCCUGAGAGGACAAAAGGAGAAGAGGCAAGAACAGAGUUUGUCUAGAAAAUGUCAUCCUGAGUGAGGUAACCCAGACACAAAAGAACACACAUGUUUGGAUCUGAAGUAUCUCCUGAGGCUGGAUGGAUAGAGGCUCAAUUACCUGCCUGGACUCUGUGGGUUCACUCUACAAUACGCUCCCUCAUCCCAGGCCCAAUGUCCAGUAAAGUCAAGCAAGUAUAGAUUAAAAACUAUGAAACCAUGAGGUGAAAAUAAAAGCAGCUGAUAAAAUUCAAGACCAAAUAAAAGGAUCGGUGUAACUACGUGAAUACCAUCAUGAAGGUGCUGAUCAAACUGCACUUGAUAUUCAUGACAAGGAAACAGAACUCUACAGAAUAAGUCAGUUAGCACCUUCUGGAAAUUGUUAGCGAAAGGCAGCAAAGUUUUCGGCCAGAAGUACUUUAUGUACCUCUCUGAGCAAGAAAUUUAUGAAGAAUUCCCGGGAAAAGUAAUGGAAAACUACAACUAUCAUGUCAUGUCAUAAAAAGUAAAUAAUCUACUACUAUACUGAAGGCAGCUAUGUGUCAAGACUUGAAGACACCAAAUAAGCUACUGAGAUAAUUUUAGGAACUACAUAUUUAAUAUGAGAUUGCACAGAAGAAAUAGAAAUGGAUCAAAACUGGAGCUAAUAUUGAAGAGAUGUUGCCAAUGGACUAAAUCCAUAUAUUGAAGAAAGUGAUAGAGGACUUCCUUGAUAGCACCCUGGGAUUGCAGAUCCCCCUCAGCUCCUUGGUUACUUUCUCUUGCUCCUCCAUUGGGGGCCCUGUGAUCCAUCCAAUAGCUGACUGUGAAAGUCAUGACUUGUGGAACAAAGUUCUGCUCAAGUAUGAUAAAAUACUCAGUGACAUCAUCUCCUCAGUAAAAUUAUGGAACAUCUGAUGACUACAGAUAUUCUACAGUGACUUUCAGGAAGAUUCUAACUGAAUGCCUAAAAAUAGAACAAAGUAAAGCACAGCCUAGAGAUAUGAUGCUGUUGACUCUUUUUUCUAUAUUCUGAAAAAAUACUCCCACUGAAAUGCAUGUGAUAUUUAAUAUUGUUUUCCAACUUGACAUGGUCUAGAAUAACCCAGGAGAGAAAGCAUUCCUUCUUACUCUAUCUGCAAUGCCAAAAACAGCUGAUUUCACCUUUAACAAGUUAAUGAUUUGGCUGAGGCCUGGCUGUUCCUGAUAAUUUGUACCACUGCUGCUGCUAUCCUGACACUAUGGGACUAGACUGCUGGUAUAUCCCUGAAGUAUUUGUGAGUGGACUGAGCUGCUGCUGCUGCUGGCCUCUGAUCAGAACUGCUGAUUUCCUGACAGCACAGAUUGGA
rnacentral:lncRNA from 1 species